rnacentral:rRNA from 1 species
CAGUAGCCGCGGGAAAACGAAGGGGGCUAGCGUUGUUCGGAAUUACUGGGCGUAAAGCGCACGUAGGCGGAUAUUUAAGUCAGGGGUGAAAUCCCAGAGCUCAACUCUGGAACUGCCUUUGAUACUGGGCAUCUUGAGUAUGGAAGAGGUGAGUGGAAUUCCGAGCGUAGAGGUGAAAUUCGUAGAUAUUCGGAGGAACACCAGUGGCAAAGGCGGCUCACUGGUCCAUUACUGACGCUGAGGUGCGAAAGCGUGGGGAGCAAACAGGAUUAGAUACCCCCGUAGUCCCUGUCUCUUAUAC